rnacentral:lncRNA from 1 species
UUUCAUAGAUUUUUUCACUAACUAAGCAAAAAAUUGAAUUAGGGAGUUACCCCUUUGUGGAUCAGUAAUCUCCCUCUUAGUUUAAGGCUGAGAAAAAUGAAAGUUGUCACUUUUUGGAUGAAAGAGCUUUUAUUUUAGAAAACAACUACCUGGUAUGCUUUACCUACAUUUCGUUACAGGCUUGAUGUAACUGAUUUUGGAGAUAUCCAGUAGUAAAUGAGGGAUUCUGCCUUUACAAUACUAUAAGCAGUUGAACUACGCACAUUAAAUGGAAAUGAUGGAGAGAAUGAAGUACAGAAUUAUUGCAGCAAAAUGGAAGAACUGGGAACAAUACCCUGUAUCCCCUGACAUCCCAUCCUAUUCAUAAGUAAAGGUAUAGAUAAUUAGAUCAUUGCUUUAUUUUUCCAGAUUUUUACCAAAGAAAAAAAAAUGGAUUAGAAAAUGAAAUAGUUUUCAAGAUUGUAAGUGGCAUUGAUAAGUAGCACUUAUAAAAAUUAAAGAGUAAAGAAAAGCAAGAUGGAGAAGAAUCCACUGUGACUGUGAUUUUUGUCAUUUUGUUCAGGCUUUGGAGUUUUGCUUGUCAAUAUUGAUUUCACAAAAGAAAAUAUCCUUCUCUAAUUAGUUGUUCAUGUUGAUUCAUUCUGUGUACAUCCACAAGUAUAAGAUGAGAUUAUUUUGGCUGUCUGUAGCUCAUGGGCACCUAGCGCCAGCAUAUGCAUAG